rnacentral:rRNA from 1 species
GACGAACGCUGGCGGCGUGCCUAAUACAUGCAAGUCGAGCGGACCAAUAGAAGCUUGCUUCUGUUGGUUAGCGGCGGACGGGUGAGUAACACGUGGGCAACCUGCCUGUAAGACUGGGAUAACUUCGGGAAACCGGAGCUAAUACCGGAUAAUUCAUCCCCUCGCAUGAGGGGAUGCUGAAAGUCGGUUUACGCUGACACUCACAGAUGGGCCCGCGGCGCAUUAGCUAGUUGGUGAGGUAAUGGCUCACCAAGGCGACGAUGCGUAGCCGACCUGAGAGGGUGAUCGGCCACACUGGGACUGAGACACGGCCCAGACUCCUACGGGAGGCAGCAGUAGGGAAUCUUCCACAAUGGACGAAAGUCUGAUGGAGCAACGCCGCGUGAGCGAUGAAGGCCUUCGGGUCGUAAAGCUCUGUUGUUAGGGAAGAACAAGUAUCGGAGUAACUGCCGGUACCUUGACGGUACCUAACCAGAAAGCCACGGCUAACUCUGUGCCAGCCGCCGCCGUAACAC